rnacentral:misc_RNA from 1 species
CUUUGCCUGGGAUUAUUAGAUUUGUUUGUAUUAGACUCGCCUUCAUGCCGUCUGUCAUCGGAGUAGUGGCCGUCAUUCUCUUCAUUCUCUACGUCGUAUUGCCCUUAAUAUUUCGGUAUUCUCCGGCUUUCCAGAGACAACUUGUGUUCUUGCCCUACACCAUUGGUUUACGAUGGCCGAUCGCAGUGAAUUACAGCCAACCUGAGCUUCUCGGAUUGAGUGGGACGAGGAAUUUUUACAUGCCCACAGAGCCGAAAAUAUCCGUGGGUGUUUGGCACAUUCUACCGGAAAACUUGACUGACAAAUCUUUCAAAACCACCGAAGAGAGUUUAGCUUGCGGAAAUCCGGUCGUACUUUACUUGCACGGUAAUUCCGGCUCAAGAGCCACUGGCCAUCGUGUGGAACUCUACAAACUUCUCAAAUCUCUUAAUUAUCACGUGAUGUCUUUCGAUUACCGAGGAUUCGCAGAUUCGUCCAAUGUCGUAAUGUCAGAAAACGGAGCCGUCACGGACGCCACUCGAGUUUACCAAUACAUUCGAAAAUUCUCCGGGAAAUCAAAAGUGAUUGUGUGGGGCCAUUCGCUCGGUACCGCAGUGGGCACCAAGAUGGUAGCCCAAUUGUGCGCAGUCAACCAGCCACCUGACGGUUUGAUUUUAGAAUCGCCGUUCAACAAUAUCAGCGACGUGUUUCGAAAUCACCCGCUAACUCUCCUCUAUCGGCCAUUGUCCGUCGUCGACCGGUUUUUCACCGAGAGGCUGCAAAGUAACAACGUGGCGUUUGACAGCGACGUUCACAUCGCCGGCGUCGAGUGCCCCACCCUUAUCCUCCAUGCAAAGGAUGAUCCUAUUGUGCCCGUUUUCCUAACCAAAAAGGUAUGCGCUGGAACAUUCCACCGGCGGGGCUGAAAUCCCGGCCUGCUGAAUGGUCUCCAUUACAGAUGGUCGAAUUCCACGAGGACCUGAACUGCGCCCAUGAAUACAUUUGCCGAGUUCCUCAAUUGCCUUCCAUUAUAGAGGAGUUUCUCGCCGGAUGAAUAUAAAGGAUUUGUUCGUA